rnacentral:rRNA from 1 species
UACAGAGGUCCCAAGCGUUGUUCGGAUUCAUUGGGCGUAAAGGGUGCGUAGGCGGCGCGGUAAGUCGGGUGUGAAAUCUCGGGGCUUAACUCCGAAACUGCAUUCGAUACUGCCGUGCUUGAGGACUGGAGAGGAGACUGGAAUUUACGGUGUAGCGGUGAAAUGCGUAGAUAUCGUAAGGAAGACCAGUGGCGAAGGCGGGUUCU